rnacentral:rRNA from 2 species
GGGUUGUGAGGUUAAGCGACUAAGCGUACACGGUGGAUGCCCUGGCAGUCAGAGGCGAUGAAGGACGUGCUAAUCUGCGAUAAGCGUCGGUAAGGUGAUAUGAACCGUUAUAACCGGCGAUUUCCGAAUGGGGAAACCCAGUGUGAUUCGUCACACUAUCAUUAACUGAAUCCAUAGGUUAAUGAGGCGAACCGGGGGAACUGAAACAUCUAAGUACCCCGAGGAAAAGAAAUCAACCGAGAUUCCCCCAGUAGCGGCGAGCGAACGGGGAGCAGCCCAGAGCCUGAAUCAGUAUGUGUGUUAGUGGAAGCGUCUGGAAAGGCGCGCGAUACAGGGUGACAGCCCCGUACACAAAAAUGCACAUGCUGUGAGCUCGAUGAGUAGGGCGGGACACGUGGUAUCCUGUCUGAAUAUGGGGGGACCAUCCUCCAAGGCUAAAUACUCCUGACUGACCGAUAGUGAACCAGUACCGUGAGGGAAAGGCGAAAAGAACCCCGGCGAGGGGAGUGAAAAAGAACCUGAAACCGUGUACGUACAAGCAGUGGGAGCACGCUUAGGCGUGUGACUGCGUACCUUUUGUAUAAUGGGUCAGCGACUUAUAUUCUGUAGCAAGGUUAACCGAAUAGGGGAGCCGAAGGGAAACCGAGUCUUAACUGGGCGUUAAGUUGCAGGGUAUAGACCCGAAACCCGGUGAUCUAGCCAUGGGCAGGUUGAAGGUUGGGUAACACUAACUGGAGGACCGAACCGACUAAUGUUGAAAAAUUAGCGGAUGACUUGUGGCUGGGGGUGAAAGGCCAAUCAAACCGGGAGAUAGCUGGUUCUCCCCGAAAGCUAUUUAGGUAGCGCCUCGUGAAUUCAUCUCCGGGGGUAGAGCACUGUUUCGGCAAGGGGGUCAUCCCGACUUACCAACCCGAUGCAAACUACGAAUACCGGAGAAUGUUAUCACGGGAGACACACGGCGGGUGCUAACGUCCGUCGUGAAGAGGGAAACAACCCAGACCGCCAGCUAAGGUCCCAAAGUCAUGGUUAAGUGGGAAACGAUGUGGGAAGGCCCAGACAGCCAGGAUGUUGGCUUAGAAGCAGCCAUCAUUUAAAGAAAGCGUAAUAGCUCACUGGUCGAGUCGGCCUGCGCGGAAGAUGUAACGGGGCUAAACCAUGCACCGAAGCUGCGGCAGCGACGCUUAUGCGUUGUUGGGUAGGGGAGCGUUCUGUAAGCCUGCGAAGGUGUGCUGUGAGGCAUGCUGGAGGUAUCAGAAGUGCGAAUGCUGACAUAAGUAACGAUAAAGCGGGUGAAAAGCCCGCUCGCCGGAAGACCAAGGGUUCCUGUCCAACGUUAAUCGGGGCAGGGUGAGUCGACCCCUAAGGCGAGGCCGAAAGGCGUAGUCGAUGGGAAACAGGUUAAUAUUCCUGUACUUGGUGUUACUGCGAAGGGGGGACGGAGAAGGCUAUGUUGGCCGGGCGACGGUUGUCCCGGUUUAAGCGUGUAGGCUGGUUUUCCAGGCAAAUCCGGAAAAUCAAGGCUGAGGCGUGAUGACGAGGCACUACGGUGCUGAAGCAACAAAUGCCCUGCUUCCAGGAAAAGCCUCUAAGCAUCAGGUAACAUCAAAUCGUACCCCAAACCGACACAGGUGGUCAGGUAGAGAAUACCAAGGCGCUUGAGAGAACUCGGGUGAAGGAACUAGGCAAAAUGGUGCCGUAACUUCGGGAGAAGGCACGCUGAUAUGUAGGUGAAGUCCCUCGCGGAUGGAGCUGAAAUCAGUCGAAGAUACCAGCUGGCUGCAACUGUUUAUUAAAAACACAGCACUGUGCAAACACGAAAGUGGACGUAUACGGUGUGACGCCUGCCCGGUGCCGGAAGGUUAAUUGAUGGGGUCAGCGCAAGCGAAGCUCUUGAUCGAAGCCCCGGUAAACGGCGGCCGUAACUAUAACGGUCCUAAGGUAGCGAAAUUCCUUGUCGGGUAAGUUCCGACCUGCACGAAUGGCGUAAUGAUGGCCAGGCUGUCUCCACCCGAGACUCAGUGAAAUUGAACUCGCUGUGAAGAUGCAGUGUACCCGCGGCAAGACGGAAAGACCCCGUGAACCUUUACUAUAGCUUGACACUGAACAUUGAGCCUUGAUGUGUAGGAUAGGUGGGAGGCUUUGAAGUGUGGACGCCAGUCUGCAUGGAGCCGACCUUGAAAUACCACCCUUUAAUGUUUGAUGUUCUAACGUGGACCCGUAAUCCGGGUUGCGGACAGUGUCUGGUGGGUAGUUUGACUGGGGCGGUCUCCUCCUAAAGAGUAACGGAGGAGCACGAAGGUUGGCUAAUCCUGGUCGGACAUCAGGAGGUUAGUGCAAUGGCAUAAGCCAGCUUGACUGCGAGCGUGACGGCGCGAGCAGGUGCGAAAGCAGGUCAUAGUGAUCCGGUGGUUCUGAAUGGAAGGGCCAUCGCUCAACGGAUAAAAGGUACUCCGGGGAUAACAGGCUGAUACCGCCCAAGAGUUCAUAUCGACGGCGGUGUUUGGCACCUCGAUGUCGGCUCAUCACAUCCUGGGGCUGAAGUAGGUCCCAAGGGUAUGGCUGUUCGCCAUUUAAAGUGGUACGCGAGCUGGGUUUAGAACGUCGUGAGACAGUUCGGUCCCUAUCUGCCGUGGGCGCUGGAGAAUUGAGGGGGGCUGCUCCUAGUACGAGAGGACCGGAGUGGACGCAUCACUGGUGUUCGGGUUGUCAUGCCAAUGGCACUGCCCGGUAGCUAAAUGCGGAAGAGAUAAGUGCUGAAAGCAUCUAAGCACGAAACUUGCCCCGAGAUGAGUUCUCCCUGACUCCUUGAGAGUCCUGAAGGAACGUUGAAGACGACGACGUUGAUAGGCCGGGUGUGUAAGCGCAGCGAUGCGUUGAGCUAACCGGUACUAAUGAACCGUGAGGCUUAACCUUACAACGCCGAAG